UUCUUGAUCGUAUAACGGUUAGUAUGCUCGCUUGUCAUCUACAACUCGCGGGAGAUCGGAGUUCGAUUCUCCGUCAGGAAG